UCCCCCAGGGCGCCAAACAGGCUAGGACCGCCACUGGUUGGUGUGCCUGUUCCAGUUUUUCCAGUUCUAAUUUAUCUAUUUGUUUCUGGAAUGUUUCUAUUCUGGCUUUUUUUGCAAAUGGUGAAAGAAAUGCUGGUCAGACCUCCUGAAAGCCUCAGUUCUCAGCCUCAGUUCUCUCAAUAUAAGUACGUAAAGUGAUAACUGGAGAGAGUGUGUCAUGCUCCAAUGCACGAGAAGGCCAGAUUUGGCUUUGAUCCAUUGUGUGACCCCAGAAUUAUCAGAUGUGAUUUGGGUGCUUGUUUGUUUACUGAAAGGGCUCGCCUUUGUAACAGGUAGAGAGAAAAGAGAGCACAGGGGUGCUCAGAUUUGUGAAUAAGAGGAAAUGACUGUCAUUUGAAACCUAAAGAUUAGUGUUUUGGGCACUAUGGUGGCACUAAAAAAAUAGUCUGUUCAUCUUUUAUAUACAGGUUAUAGAUGAGACAGGACUCAAACCUUUUCUGUGUUAAACUUUGACUGUCUCUGUUUUUAACACAGGCAGACUCAUAAAAUUGGAUAAUUUCUCUCACCGAAACUGAAACACACUCUUUGAUGGCACAUUAGUACAAUGAGCCACACAGUAGCCGUUUCUCUACCCAAACAGCACCCCCCCUGUGGAGCGAGUAUCUGCUCUUAACCCAGAGCUAUUUCAGCAACUUCACUGUGUCCAGGGUGUCUGAGCACGCUCAGUGCUGUCCGAGACGGCAGAUUGGUGUCUCACCCGGCUCUGCCAGGAAUAGAGGAGGAUAUGUUGGAUAUCUUCACGCAGCAGUGUCACUUCCUGCAUCAGUGCGGUCAUUCGGAGAAGUCGACUGCCCUGUUUCAGGCAAUGACUGACUUUACCUUCUUCAAGCCUGACAGCGUGCGAGAGCUGUCCACUCCGCAGCAGGUAUAAUAAUAAAAACUCAAUUCUGCCCUCCUGUAGUUAAAUUUCUGCCUCCCUGAAUAAGAAUAAGAAUAAGAAACAAAAAUCACACCACAAAAUGGGCAGUGAUAGGUCGAGCUCUUAGAGCUGUUCUGGGACAGCGGGGAGGCCAGGGUCGGGGAGCUGGGUGCCAGAGGCUAAAGAGCUUGGAUGAUCCAACACGAACGAGGAGGUUGGCUACAACCCACUGCAGUCCAAGACGACCUGAUGGGAGAGAAGCUGAGGUUGAGACGUCUGGUUAGCUGCUACGCUCCUUUCCAGCAGCCAACACAGUCUACACCCAGGUUAGAGAGAAGAUGGAAGAACUAUACUGCACGUUAACAGCUGAACAGCAGCUGAACAGCAGCAAGGAGGGUAAGCUCGCGAGAGCUGACGCUGACUCAAACAGGCCCUGUGCCAGCAGGGUCGCUGCUGAGUGUGAGGCGUUGGCCGUGCAGCAGGCGGCACUGCUAAAGUACCACAACAGCGUCGCUGUGUUUCCUCUGGUGACACUGAGACAAACGCUGACAUCGGCCCUCCCAGUCUGGACCACCAGCGUCCCUCUCUGGAGCAUUUAUCUACAGGUCAGGCUAAUAAAAGCACAUUUUUCCUCAUUCUUCUCUAGAUGUGUUUCUCAAAGCCUUUUGAGCCCUGACCUUAUUUGUUUAUUUUGGCCUGACUGACAAACAUCAGACAGCAGGAUCACAUCAAAUUUCACAUAUCAUUUAUAUCCUUGUUUCCAAAAAAGUAAAACGCCAUGUAAACUACAAAUAAAAACAGAAGGUGAUGAUUUUGAAAAUAUUUACAAAAACUACAUUUAAAUAGCUCAUUUCAAAAAAGGGUUCGGUGUUUGUUUCUAAUAUUAAUCUAAAAGCAAACAGGAUGAUUUGUCUUAAAUGCAUUUAUGCUUUUGCUUCUAACCUUGAGACAACAAAACUGAUCAAAAUUCAGUUAUCUAAUA